rfam:Eubacterium sp. An11 An11_contig_7, whole genome shotgun sequence.
UGAUACCAAAGGUUCAGAAAGUCAUGCUUUCAUGCGUACAUGAAAAAGCAUGACUUUGGAACCUGCUCAGACAUGAGCAGGAAGCCCGGCAGGGCGGAGUGCGAAUGGAUAAGAGGAUUGCGGGAGCACAGAGUGCGGAGCAAUCCGCAGGUAUCA